GUCCAAUUCCAUCGAGUUUAUCUCAAAUAUCAAGAUUGAGAGUAUUGAAGUUGUCGUACAAUAAUCUUUCGGGGAAAAUUCCUACAGGAACUCAACUUCAAGCCUUUCCAACUUCUUCUUAUGAAGGCAAUUCUCAUCUUUGUAGAGAUCCACUGGAAAAAUGCUUCCCAGAAAUCACUCCAAAUCCCAGCAUUGGGAAUGGAAAUGAAAAUGAAAAUGAAGAGAAAUGGUUUGGACGAGAAUUUCUGAUAAGCAUGUUGUUUGGAUUUAUUGUGGGUUUCUGGGGAAUAUUUGGGAGUUUGGUACUCAAUAGAAGAUGGAGACAUGCAUUCUUCAAAUUUUUUAGGUGUGGAAACAACUAAAAACAGACACCUGGGAGAUGCGUAGUCAGUGUGUAGCAAAUUUUUUAAGAGCAAUGUGAUACUAUUUGUAAUAUCUUCAGUGAGAUAUGUUAUUACUUAGCGUGAUACCGUUCGUUCUAGUUCCCAAACAUUAAUAGAGUUUGUUUGAGACUUAUUUCCAUAAAUGAGUUGUUGUAUUGCCUCUCGUUUAUGAGUA